rnacentral:rRNA from 1 species
CCUACGGGAGGCAGCAGUAGGGAAUAUUGCUCAAUGGGGGAAAGCCUGAAGCAGCAACGCCGCGUGGAGGAUGAAGGUUUUCGGAUUGGAAACUCCUUUUGUUAGAGAAGAGAAUGACGGUAUCUAACGAAUAAGCACCGGCUAACUCCGUGCCAGCAGCCGCGGUAAUACGGAGGGGGCAAGCGUUACUCGGAACCACUGGGCGUAAAGAGCGCGUAGGCGGGAUAGCAAGUCAGAUGUGAAAUCCUAUGGCUUAACCAUAGAACUGCAUUUGAAACUGUUAUUCUAGAGUAUGGGAGAGGUAGGUGGAAUUCGUGGUGUAGGGGUGAAAUCCGUAGAGAUCAAGAGGAAUACUCAUUGCGAAGGCGACCUGCUAGAACAUAACUGACGCUGAUGCGCGAAAGCGUGGGGAGCAAACAGGAUUAGAUACCCCGGUAGUC